GGUGACUGCGUACCUUUUGUAUAAUGGGUCAGCGACUUAUAUUCUGUAGCAAGGUUAACCGCAUAGGGGAGCCGAAGGGAAACCGAGUCUUAAUUGGGCGUUAAGUUGCAGGGUAUAGACCCGAAACCCGGUGAUCUAGCCAUGGGCAGGUUGAAGGUUGGGUAACACUAACUGGAGGACCGAACCGACUAAUGUUGAAAAAUUAGCGGAUGACCUGUGGCUGGGGGUGAAAGGCCAAUCAAACCGGGAGAUAGCUGGUUCUCCCCGAAAGCUAUUUAGGUAGCGCCUCGUGAAUUCAUCUCCGGGGGUAGAGCACUGUUUCGGCUAGGGGGCCAUCCCGGCUUACCAACCCGAUGCAAACUGCGAAUACCGGAGAAUGUUAUCACGGGAGACACACGGCGGGUGCUAACGUCCGUCGUGAAGAGGGAAACAACCCAGACCGCCAGCUAAGGUCCCAAAGUCAUGGUUAAGUGGGAAACGAUGUGGGAAGGCCCAGACAGCCAGGAUGUUGGCUUAGAAGCAGCCAUCAUUUAAAGAAAGCGUAAUAGCUCACUGGUCGAGUCGGCCUGCGCGGAAGAUGUAACGGGGCUAAACCAUGCACCGAAGCUGCGGCAGCGACACUUUAGUGUUGUUGGGUAGGGGAGCGUUCUGUAAGCCGUUGAAGGUGUCCUGUGAGGGGUGCUGGAGGUAUCAGAAGUGCGAAUGCUGACAUAAGUAACGAUAAAGCGGGUGAAAAGCCCGCUCGCCGGAAGACCAAGGGUUCCUGUCCAACGUUAAUCGGGGCAGGGUGAGUCGACCCCUAAGGCGAGGCCGAAAGGCGUAGUCGAUGGGAAACGGGUUAAUAUUCCCGUACUUGGUGUUACUGCGAAGGGGGGACGGAGAAGGCUAUGUUGGCCGGGCGACGGUUGUCCCGGUUUAAGCGUGUAGGUGUGUGUUCCAGGUAAAUCCGGUUCACUUUAACACUGAGGCGUGAUGACGAGGCACCACGGUGCUGAAGCAACAAAUGCCCUGCUUCCAGGAAAAGCCUCUAAGCAUCAGGUAACAUCAAAUCGUACCCCAAACCGACACAGGUGGUCAGGUAGAGAAUACCAAGGCGCUUGAGAGAACUCGGGUGAAGGAACUAGGCAAAAUGGUGCCGUAACUUCGGGAGAAGGCACGCUGACACGUAGGUGAAGUGAUUUACUCAUGGAGCUGAAGUCAGUCGAAGAUACCAGCUGGCUGCAACUGUUUAUUAAAAACACAGCACUGUGCAAACACGAAAGUGGACGUAUACGGUGUGACGCCUGCCCGGUGCCGGAAGGUUAAUUGAUGGGGUCAGCGCAAGCGAAGCUCCUGAUCGAAGCCCCGGUAAACGGCGGCCGUAACUAUAACGGUCCUAAGGUAGCGAAAUUCCUUGUCGGGUAAGUUCCGACCUGCACGAAUGGCGUAAUGAUGGCCAGGCUGUCUCCACCCGAGACUCAGUGAAAUUGAACUCGCUGUGAAGAUGCAGUGUACCCGCGGCAAGACGGAAAGACCCCGUGAACCUUUACUAUAGCUUGACACUGAACAUUGAGCCUUGAUGUGUAGGAUAGGUGGGAGGCUUUGAAGCGUGGACGCCAGUCUGCGUGGAGCCGACCUUGAAAUACCACCCUUUAAUGUUUGAUGUUCUAACGUGGACCCGUAAUCCGGGUUGCGGACAGUGUCUGGUGGGUAGUUUGACUGGGGCGGUCUCCUCCUAAAGAGUAACGGAGGAGCACGAAGGUUGGCUAAUCCUGGUCGGACAUCAGGAGGUUAGUGCAAUGGCAUAAGCCAGCUUGACUGCGAGCGUGACGGCGCGAGCAGGUGCGAAAGCAGGUCAUAGUGAUCCGGUGGUUCUGAAUGGAAGGGCCAUCGCUCAACGGAUAAAAGGUACUCCGGGGAUAACAGGCUGAUACCGCCCAAGAGUUCAUAUCGACGGCGGUGUUUGGCACCUCGAUGUCGGCUCAUCACAUCCUGGGGCUGAAGUAGGUCCCAAGGGUAUGGCUGUUCGCCAUUUAAAGUGGUACGCGAGCUGGGUUUAGAACGUCGUGAGACAGUUCGGUCCCUAUCUGCCGUGGGCGCUGGAAGACUGAGGGGGGCUGCUCCUAGUACGAGAGGACCGGAGUGGACGCAUCACUGGUGUUCGGGUUGUCAUGCCAAUGGCACUGCCCGGUAGCUAAAUGCGGAAAAGAUAAGUGCUGAAAGCAUCUAAGCACGAAACUUGCCCCGAGAUGAGUCUUCCCUGAGACUUUGA
rnacentral:rRNA from 1 species